rnacentral:rRNA from 1 species
AUACGAAAGGUGCAAGCGUUGUUCGGAUUUACUGGGCGUAAAGAGAGUGUAGGUGGUUUAUUAAGUCGGAUGUGAAAUCCCGGGGCUCAACCUCGGAACUGCAUUCGAUACUGAUAGGCUAGAGUUUGGGAGGGGUAAGCGGAAUUCCGUGUGUAGCAGUGAAAUGCGUAGAUAUACGGAGGAACACCUGAGGCGAAGGCGGCUUACUGGACCAAUACCGACACUGAGACUCGAAAGCGUGGGUAGCAAACAGGAUUAGAAACCCUAGUAGUCC